rnacentral:rRNA from 1 species
CAGUAGCCGCGGGAAUACAGAGGGUGCAAGCGUUAAUCGGAAUUACUGGGCGUAAAGCGCGCGUAGGUGGUUUGUUAAGUUGGAUGUGAAAUCCCCGGGCUCAACCUGGGAACUGCAUCCAAAACUGGCAGGCUAGAGUAGGGCAGAGGGUGGUGGAAUUUCCUGUGUAGCGGUGAAAUGCGUAGAUAUAGGAAGGAACACCAGUGGCGAAGGCGACCACCUGGGCUCAUACUGACACUGAGGUGCGAAAGCGUGGGGAGCAAACAGGAUUAGAUACCCCCGUAGUCCCUGUCUCUUAUAA